AUGAAAAAUAGCAGUUGGAUCAGAAAGAACUGGCUGCUUGUAGCUGUGAUUUCCUUCAUAGGUGUCCAUCUUGGGACGUAUUUUAUACAGAGGGCUGCAAAACAGUCUGUAAAGUCUCAGCCUGAAGGCAAACAAAAGAAUUUGAAUAAUGGAGUAAAAUAAAUAUUUGGAAUUACUAAAAUGUCAUGAUAUCGAUCAUUAUGUGCUGGUUAGCUUUAUAAGCAUGAAGCUCAGUAUCUAAUUUUACAGCCACCAUGCUGUAAAUCCGAACUCUGAUUCCUGAAAGAUAAUCUUGUUAAAUGUUAAAACCCUCGACAAUACAAUGAAUAGGAAACUCUGGUUAACAAAAUAAAAGCUUUCUUCACAAA